rnacentral:rRNA from 1 species
GACGAACGCUGGCGGCGUGCCUAAUACAUGCAAGUCGAACGCUUCUUUCCUCCCGAGUGCUUGCACUCAAUUGGAAAGAGGAGUGGCGGACGGGUGAGUAACACGUGGGUAACCUACCCAUCAGAGGGGGAUAACACUUGGAAACAGGUGCUAAUACCGCAUAACAGUUUAUGCCGCAUGGCAUAAGAGUGAAAGGCGCUUUCGGGUGUCGCUGAUGGAUGGACCCGCGGUGCAUUAGCUAGUUGGUGAGGUAACGGCUCACCAAGGCCACGAUGCAUAGCCGACCUGAGAGGGUGAUCGGCCACACUGGGACUGUGACACGGCCCAGACUCCUACGGGAGGCAGCAGUAGGGAAUCUUCGGCAAUGGACGAAAGUCUGACCGAGCAACGCCGCGUGAGUGAAGAAGGUUUUCGGAUCGUAAAACUCUGUUGUUAGAGAAGAACAAGGACGUUAGUAACUGAACGUCCCCUGACGGUAUCUAACCAGAAAGCCACGGCUAACUACGUG